UGGGGUUGUGCUCGAUGGUAGAGCACUUGUCUAGCAUGCAUGAAGCACUGGGUUCGAUCCUCAGCACCUCAU
rnacentral:tRNA from 1 species